rnacentral:sRNA from 1 species
UAAGGUUCGACUCGAGCGAAGCGAGAGAACGUUGCCGCAGGCAAUGGCCCGAAGGCGAGGCGUUUUAGCGCCGAGUAAUCCUCCCCCCACCACUG